rnacentral:rRNA from 1 species
GAAGAGAGAGUUAAAGAGGACGUGAAACCGGUGAGGUGGAAACGGAUAGAGCUAGCGUAUCUGGCCUGUAUUCAGCCGUUCGGUUGUUGGUUUCCGUGUUCUCGCUUCCAGACUGGAGCGGUGCGCGGAUGGCUGGCGAUCGGGCGGUGCAUUUGCAGGUAGAGUGCGCCGAGGCGUUCGGGAUAGCGGCAUGAGCUUGGCUUUGAGGCCAGCCCGUAAGGGUCUGGUACCCGGGCCGGGGGAGUGUUGUUUGUUCUGGGCGUCUAAUGGGCUAUGGCAUACGGGUUUGAUGUGGCGCCGGGCUGGAGGCUGGUUACGGUCGCGUGCGACACGUGCCGGUGGCUAGUUCGGUCCAUGUUGAGCUCUCGUGUCCUCCCUCGGUGUAAAAGCUGGUAAUCUAUCCGACCCGUCUUGAAACACGGACCAAGGAGUUUAGCGUGUGCGCGAGUCAUUGGGUGUUGAAAACCCAAAGGCGAAAUGAAAGUGAAUGUACCCGUAAGGGACUGACGUGUGAUCCUGUGUGCUUCGGCCCGCAGGCGCAGCAUGGCCCCGUCCUGACUGCUUGCAGUGGGGCGGCGGCAGAGCGUACGCGCUGAGACCCGAAAGAUGGUGAACUAUUCCUGAGCAGGAUGAAGCCAGAGGAAACUCUGGUGGAAGUCCGAAGCGAUUCUGACGUGCAAAUCGAUCGUCUGACUUG